UCCCAUGUGGUCUAGUGGCUAGGAUACCUGGCUUUCGCCCAGGAGGCCCGGGGUUCGAUUCCCGGCAUGGGAA